rnacentral:rRNA from 1 species
UGCCCCAGUAACGGCGAGCGAAGCGGCAACAGCUCAAAUUUGAAAUCUGGCCCCCCGGCCCGAGUUGUAAUUUGCAGAGGAUGCUUUUGGUGAGGCACCUACCGAGUCCCCUGGAAUGGGGCGCCAUAGAGGGUGAGAGCCCCGUAUGGUAGGACGCCGAACCUCUGUAAAGCUCCUUCGACGAGUCGAGUAGUUUGGGAAUGCUGCUCUAAAUGGGAGGUAAAUUUCUUCUAAAGCUAAAUACCGGCCAGAGACCGAUAGCGCACAAGUAGAGUGAUCGAAAGAUGAAAAGCACUUUGAAAAGAGGGUUAAAAAGUACGUGAAAUUGUUGAAAGGGAAGCGCUUGUGACCAGACUUGCGCCGGGCGGAUCAUCCAGCGUUCUCGCUGGUGCACUCCGCCCGGUUCAGGCCAGCAUCGGUUUUCGCCGGGGGACAAAGGCUUCGGGAACGUGGCUCCUUUCGGGGAGUGUUAUAGCCCGUUGCGUAAUACCCCGGCGGGGACCGACGACCGCGCUUCGGCAAGGAUGCUGGCGUAAUGGUCAUCAGCGACCCGUCUUGAAACACGGACCGAGGAGUCAAGCAUUAGUGCGAGUGUUUGGGUGUAAAACCCGCACGCGUAAUGAAAGUGAACGUAGGUGAGAGCUUCGGCGCAUCAUCGACCGAUCCUGAUGUUUUCGGAAGGAUUUGAGUAGGAGCAUUAACGCUUGGACCCGAAAGAUGGUGAACUAUACUUGAAUAGGGUGAAGCCA